CACGUGAGCAACCUACCCUUGACACUGGGAUAACAGUUGGAAACAGCUGCUAAUACCGGAUAUGAACUCAGCAGGCAUCUGCCGAGUUGGAAAGCUCCGACGGUCAAGGAUGGGCUCGCGGCCUAUCAGCUCGUUGGUGAGGUAACGGCUCACCAAGGCGACGACGGGUAGCCGGCCUGAGAGGGCGACCGGCCACACUGGGACUGAGAUACGGCCCAGACUCCUACGGGAGGCAGCAGUGGGGAAUAUUGCGCAAUGGGCGAAAGCCUGACGCAGCAACGCCGCGUGCGGGAUGACGGCCUUCGGGUUGUAAACCGCUUUCAGCAGGGACGAAACUGACGGUACCUGCAGAAGAAGCACCGGCUAACUACGU
rnacentral:rRNA from 1 species